GACGAACGCUGGCGGCGUGCUUAACACAUGCAAGUCGAGCGGAGCGGCGAACGGGUGAGUAACGCGUGAGUAACUGCCCCCCUCUCUGGGAUAACAGUUGGAAACGGCUGCUAAUACCGGAUAGUGGGGGAUGACUCGCGUCCUAUCAGCUUGUUGGUGGGGUAGUGGCGUGCCAAGGGGACGGCGGGCAGCCGGCCUGAGAGGCGGACCGGCCACAUUGGGCUGAGGUACGGCCCAAGCGCCGACGGGAGGCAGCAGUGGGGAAGAUUGCACAAUGGGGGAAGCCCUGAUGCAGCAACGCCGCGUGCGGGAUGACGGCCUUCGGGUUGUAAACCGCGUUCAGCCAUGACGCGGUAGUGGCAGAAGAAGCACCGGCUAACUCCGUGCCAGCAGCCGCGGUAAUAC
rnacentral:rRNA from 1 species